rnacentral:rRNA from 1 species
CCUACGGGAGGCAGCAGUGAGGAAUAUUGGACAAUGGGCGCAAGCCUGAUCCAGCCAUGCCGCGUGCAGGAUGACGGUCCUAUGGAUUGUAAACUGCUUUUAUACGAGAAGAAACACUGCUUCGUGAAGCAGCUUGACGGUAUCGUAAGAAUAAGGAUCGGCUAACUCCGUGCCAGCAGCCGCGGUAAUACGGAGGAUCCAAGCGUUAUCCGGAAUCAUUGGGUUUAAAGGGUCCGUAGGCGGUUUAAUAAGUCAGUGGUGAAAGCCCAUCGCUCAACGGUGGAACGGCCAUUGAUACUGUUAGACUUGAAUUAUUAGGAAGUAACUAGAAUAUGUAGUGUAGCGGUGAAAUGCUUAGAGAUUACAUGGAAUACCAAUUGCGAAGGCAGGUUACUACUAAUGGAUUGACGCUGAUGGACGAAAGCGUGGGUAGCGAACAGGAUUAGAUACCCUGGUAGUCCACGCCGUAAACGAUGGAUACUAGCUGUUGGGUGCAAACUCAGUGGCUAAGCGAAGUGAUAAGUAUCCACCNGGGAGUACGUUCGCAGAAUGAAAGUCAAAUGAAUUGAGGACUGAGACGAGCGACGGACGACGACGAGGGAGGAGG